rnacentral:rRNA from 1 species
CCCCUAGACGUUCUGGGCUGCACGCGCGCUACAAUAAUACGCACAGCGAGUAUCACCGAGCUCGAAAGGGCAAGGUAAACAAUAGAAAAGGUACUGUAAUGGUUAUAGAUCCUUGUAAUUAUUGAUCUUCAACGAGGAAUUCCUAGUAAGUAUGUGUCAUCAUCACGCACUGAUUACGUCCCAGCCCUUUGUACACACCGCCCGUCGCUCCUACCGAUUGGGUGAGCCGAUGAAACUCUCGGAUGUAGGCUAUUCAUAGCCCGCAGAAGAGAUUUGAAUCGUAGCGCUUAGAGGAAGGAGAAGUCGUAACA